GAUGAACGCUGGCGGCGUGCCUAACACAUGCAAGUCGAACGGAAAGGCCCUGCUUUUGUGGGGUUCUCGAUUGGCGAACGGGUGAGUAACACGUGUGUAACCUGCCCUUGACCUUCGGAUAACUUCAGGAAACUGGGGCUAAUAUCGGAUAGGAUCUCCUGCUGCAUGGUGGGCGUUGGAAAGUUUCGGCGGUAGGGGAUGGACUCGCGGCUUACCAGCUUGUUGGUGGGGUAGUUGCUUACCAAGCCUUUGACUGAUAGCCGGCCUGGGAGGGUAGACGGCCACAAUAGGACUAAGAGAGGGAGCAGUGGGCAACGGGAGGCAACAGUCGGAAGUAUGGCACAGUGAGGGGGAGCCUGAUACAGAGGCGCCGCGUGCGGAAUGACGGCCUUCGGGGUAUGAACAGCUGUCGCAUGUGACGAAGCGUGAGUGACGGUAAUGAAUAAAGAAGCACCGGCUAACUACGUG
rnacentral:rRNA from 1 species